rnacentral:rRNA from 1 species
GACGAACGCUGGCGGCGUGCCUAAUACAUGCAAGUAGAACGCACAGUUUAUACCGUAGCUUGCUACACCAUAGACUGUGAGUUGCGAACGGGUGAGUAACGCGUAGGUAACCUGCCUGGUAGCGGGGGAUAACUAUUGGAAACGAUAGCUAAUACCGCAUAAUAUUAAUUAUUGCAUGAUAAUUAAUUGAAAGGUGCAAUUGCACCACUACCAGAUGGACCUGCGUUGUAUUAGCUAGUAGGUGAGGUAACGGCUCACCUAGGCGACGAUACAUAGCCGACCUGAGAGGGUGAGCGGCCACACUGGGACUGAGACACGGCCCAGACGCCUACGGGAGGCAGCAGUAGGGAAUCUUCGGCAAUGGACGAAAGUCUGACCGAGCAACGCCGCGUGAGUGAAGAAGGAUUUCGGAUCGUAAAGCUCGGUUGUAAGGGAAGAACGGGUGUGAGAGUGGAAAGUUCACACUGUGACGGUAUCUUACCAGAAAGGGACGGCUAACUACGUG